AGAGUUUGAUCCUGGCUCAGAACGAACGCUGGCGGCGUGGAUAAGACAUGCAAGUCGAACGCUAAUUUCAGGGUAGCAAUAUUCUGAGGUUGGAGUGGCGCAAGGGUGCGUAACACGUGGGUAAUUUGCCGCGAAGUUGGGGAUAACUCGCUGAAAGGCGAGCUAAUACCGAAUGUGGUCACCGGGAGGCAUCUCCUGGUGUCUAAAGUUGGGGACCGCAAGGCCUGACGCUUCACGAUAAGCCCGCGGCCUAUCAGCUAGUUGGUGAGGUAACGGCUCACCAAGGCUAAGACGGGUAGCUGGUCUGAGAGGACGACCAGUCACACUGGAACUGAGACACGGUCCAGACACCUACGGGUGGCAGCAGUCGAGAAUUUUUCUCAAUGGGCGAAAGCCUGAAGGAGCGACGCCGCGUGGGGGAUGAAGGGCUUCGGCCCGUAAACCCCUGUCAUUUGCGAACAAACCUUCCGACCCAACACGUCGGAAGCUGAUUGUAGCGAAAGAGGAAGGGACGGCUAACUCUGUGCCAGCAGCCGCGGUAAUACAGAGGUCCCAAGCGUUGUUCGGAUUCACUGGGCGUAAAGGGUGCGUAGGUGGCAGGGUAAGUUUGAUGUGAAAUCUCCGGGCUUAACCCGGAAACUGCAUUGAAUACUAUUCUGCUUGAGGGUUGGAGGGGGGACUGGAAUUCUCGGUGUAGCAGUGAAAUGCGUAGAUAUCGAGAGGAACACCAGUGGCGAAGGCGAGUCCCUGGACAACUCCUGACACUGAGGCACGAAAGCUAGGGGAGCAAACAGGAUUAGAUACCCUGGUAGUCCUAGCCGUAAACGGUGCAUAUUUGCUGUAAAAGGAAUCGACCCCUUUUGUGGCGUAGCCAACGCGUUAAAUAUGCCGCCUGGGAAGUACGGUCGCAAGAUUAAAACUCAAAGGAAUUGACGG
rnacentral:rRNA from 1 species